rnacentral:lncRNA from 1 species
GUCUUUCGGCAGGGAGAGGCGCUCUGGGGCUGCCGAAGCGGCCGGGGCGGAACAGACGUGUUCAGCCCGCCUCGAUCCAGUUAACUGAGGCCCUGGACACCUCCAGCCCGUUAGAGGCUCCCACGGCUCCCCAGGCGCACCUUCAAAUGCGAAGCCAGGCUUUGUACGUCUGUGACGCAGGGCUGUGCGCUAGGCGCCGUCCCGCCAAGUGCAGGGCCAGGGCUGCCUUCGGGAGCGACCGAUUCCUAACGAGGUCCCCGGCGCUCGUGCAGACUCGCCCGCGGCCUAGGCUUGAGCCCGAGGCCACGCCUGACUUGGAUCCUUUAUUUCCUUACAAUAAUAUGGGUGCUUUUCUCAGUUCACACCUUCCCCCCCACCCCCACCGCUUUGCUGAGAUCUUCAUUCAACACAAGAAAAUACCAGCAAUGUGUAGAAAUACUGUGCUUUAAUGAACUCCUUAAAUAGAAAUGCUGCUAUGAAAACAUACAGUGGGAGGAGAGGGUUUCUCCCUUAUUCACCCCGUUCCCACAGAAGACUAAGAAAAGAUUUCAAAGUAGUGUUGAGGGGUUGAGAAUGAGGUCUCUAGGGCAUCACUGUUGGGACUGAUGAAAAGGGUCUCUCAUAUCACAGUUUUGACGGCCAUCCAAAAGGUACAGAAUUGCCUGGGGAAAAAAGGCAAUCACAUUCUGAACUGGUCUUGUUCCUUAGUUUUCAAAUCACAAGAAAUGAAAAUAGCCCCAGGAAUCAAUCAAAUCGGGAGCCCUGGAGGUU